CCCCUAGAUGUUCUGGGCCGCACGCGCGCUACACUGAACAGUUCAACAAGUCUUAACCUUGGCCGAUAGGUCUGGGUAAUCUUUGAACGCUGUUCGUGAUUGGGAUAGACCUUUGCAAUUAUGGGUCUUCAACGAGGAAUUCCUAGUAAACGCAAGUCAUCAGCUUGCAUUGAUUACGUCCCUGCCCUUUGUACACACCGCCCGUCGCACCUACCGAUUGAAUGGUCCGGUGAAGGCUCCGGAGGCGUCUUUCUCAAUGUUUAUUCGGCGAGAUUGGUGCCAAAGUUGAAUGAACCUUACCAUUUAGAGGAAGGUGAAGUCGUAACA
rnacentral:rRNA from 1 species